rnacentral:rRNA from 1 species
UACGUAGGGGGCAAGCGUUGUCCGGAUUUAUUGGGCGUAAAGAGCGUGUAGGCGGCCAGAUAGGUCAGCUGUGAAAACUCGAGGCUCAACCUCGAGAUGUCGGCUGAAACCAUCUGGCUAGAGUCCGGAAGAGGAGAAUGGAAUUCCCGGUGUAGCGGUGAAAUGCGCAGAUAUCGGGAGGAACACCAGUAGCGAAGGCGGCUCGCUGGGCCACACCUGACGCUGAGACGCGAAAGCUAGGGGAGCGAACAGG